GAGGGUAUAGCUCAAGUGGUAGAGCACAUGCUUAGCAUGCACAAGGUCUUGGGCUCAAUCCCCAGUACCUCCU
rfam:Camelus ferus unplaced genomic scaffold scaffold2524, whole genome shotgun sequence.